CCACCAAGUGGGACUAUAUCUAGCUACUGGUUUUCUUUAGAGAUAGGUGGAUCUGGUUUGAAUCCCACCGUUAGAGAACUUUCUCUGGACUGCGUACUUCUUUCCUCCUCCAGCUUCAGGGCCCUGUAACAGCACCCAGAAUGCCAAUAGGACCUGAGUGUCCCGUGGGUCCCGGAGGUGGAUCUGCGCCGGAACUCCAGUGGCUUCCCCAAGCAGGUUGCUGUUUCCUUCCCGGAAGAAGGGACCCAACCGACCUGACUUUCCAGGCAAAAUGGAGUUGGUAGAUGAAGAGGGGGGGAGCUGCCUCAGGACAAGCAAGAGCAAGCUUGCUUCCAGGGCCUUCCGACUCCAGGUGUUUUACAACCAUCCUUUUGCUCUUCUUGGCAUCACCUUUGUCCUGUGGGUACCCUGAGUUCAGCGUCUGCCAGGCUGCACUCCUGCGGGUCCAGAAUGAUAAGUUAUCACUCUCUCCCCCCAUUUCACUGGGAUUCCAGCCUUCAAGUCUAGGCUGUCUUCUCACUCCUCUUUACCCAGUUGUUGGCUGAAUUCCAUCGCCUUCCCCCUCAGGGUUCCUUCCAGCCCCAGGCCGAGUUGCACUAGGGUCUUUACAGUAGCAGUAAACGCCUCUCUUUCUCUGCUCACGCAGGAGCUACAUGGCCGACGUUUCUGGGGGUGUCAGCCCGUCAUCAAAGCUGCCCAUUCGUUUCAUCUGCAUCUGUCAGUACCCGCGUCCUUCUGUCCCUGUAUCAGCUGCCUCACGUGACUCACCUUCACCACUAAAAUAUUAUUAUUUCUAUCCUAAUUAUUCCACAUCUCAAGUUGAAAUCCAGGUUGCACUCUAGGCUUUCAGGGUGUUCACAUCUGUGUGUGUGUGUUAUACACGUGUGGAGAUAGGAGGCUGAACUUGAGGUGUCUUUCUUCACCUUCCACCUUGUUUGAGAUGGACUCUCUUUACUACUGCCUCCAUCACCUCUAGACUGCCCAGUCUCUGCCUGGUCCAGCAGUGGUGCUUGGACACAGUGCUUGCCCGCCUACAUCAGGCUUUUCGGGACUCCUUGGGAUCUGAACUUAGGCUGUCAGACUCACCCAGCGAGUGCUUUACCCAGUGCACUAUCUCUGGGCCCAGGAGUUUUGAUUCUUGCCCCUGGUCUCUGCUCAUCUAAAUGACAAACAGUUCUCUGAUAUGCUAAAAAUUAAAUGUGUAUUUUUAAUUAACUUUAUUUACAUAUAAUAAGAUGCAUCCAUUUUAAUGUAGUUUGAUGGGUUUAAGAAAUGUAUAUACCCAUGCGCCUAUUAUCUGAGUCGGCACAUAGGAUAUUCCCAUCACUUGUCCAGAAUUCCCUGUGUCCUUUGUCAGCUUCCUCCGCCAUUGGACCCAAGCGAUCAGUCUGGUUUCUGGCGACAGAGUGACUUUCUCCCGUAGGUUUAUGUAAAUAGGUUCAUUUGGUAGCUCUCUUCUUGUUUAAAAACAAUUAAAUAAAAAUAUUUUAUUUUAUGUAUACAGAUGUUUUUCCUGCAUGUAUGUCUGUGCACUUGUGUGCUUGGUGUCUGCAGAGGCUAGA